UUAAACACUGGUUCCCGUACGGUCACCGAAGUUAAGCAAUCUCGAGCCUGAUCAGUAUCUAGGUGGGUGACCGCUUGGGAAUACCAGGUGCUGUAAG